UACGGAGGAGGCAAGCGUUAUCCGGAAUUAUUGGGCGUAAAGCGUCCGCAGGUGGCGAUUCAAGUCUGCGGUCAAAGACUGGGGCUUAACCCUGGAAAGGCCGUGGAAACUGAAUAGCUAGAGUGCAGUAGGGGUAGAGGGAAUUCCCGGUGUAGCGGUGAAAUGCGUAGAUAUCUGGAGGAACACCGGUGGCGAAGGCGGCAUCCUGGACCGACACUGGCGCUGAGGCGCGAAAGCUAGGGGAGCAAACGGG
rnacentral:rRNA from 1 species